ensembl:lncRNA
AAUUUCAGAUUACUGCUUGAGAAAGAUUCUGCUGAGGGAGUCCUGGUACCUCUUUCUUGUUAUCACCAUGAAAACAAGCUUUUACUGGAAGAGAAAAAAGAUGUGUAACUCGUACAAACAUUGUCCAUGGUUUUCAAGACUUUUCCCACUCCACCACUUGGAGCUGUUGCCUCUAGCAGGGAACCUGCCUCCCAGAGCAGAAUCACUUGUGGCUUCUGAACAUAUUUUGUUCUGAACAUUUCAAAUUCUUAUCAAGUGAUUUUUUGAAAACCACACUAAGACAAAGUGCCUGGAUGCCUAAUCUGAGACAAGGUCAACAGAGAGAAAUUGGUCACCAAGAUGGGAUGAGCUGUUGGAUUCAGAAUACUCAGUGGGACUUUCAGUGCUACACACACAAAAAAACAGAAAUAGCAUCCUGGGGAUCUGGAGAACAGCUGGAAGACAACCACCUUGCUAACUUUAAUAUCAGAUGGCAAACAGACACUAUUAUGCUCAAAGCUAUAAAAUACCCUUCCUUUGUUACAGCUCCAGGAAGCUGCUGCUAGAGAUUAUUCGAACUACUAUAAACAACUCCAUUAAAGCUUCUGAGCUCACCAAUGACUCUUGUAAGGUCCUGGAUAAAAAGAUCAAUUUUUUUUUUUUUUCCUUUUUUGAGAAAAGGAAAGAGAGAGAGAGAGUCUGGCAAAAAUAUUGCAAGCUUCUAAUAAUAAAAUGACCUACAAAACCUGAAGGAUAAAGCAUCCCUUAUUCGCUCAGGAAUGCAAAUUCCUUCAACAACAGGCACCAUUGGAGUUUAUGAAGCCUGGAGAUGUUGAGGUUCAGAACCAAACCACUGUAGCCUUCAUCUCUUCAUUUAGAAAAGGGGCUUUUGAGGAUCGUGUCAAGUUGGAGUUCCAAUGUGAAAGAAAAGGACAAAGGAUGGAUCCCAGUGGACACAUUUAUGGACACAAGCAAUUUGGGGGGCACUUGGAUUUGCACGCACCAUCCCUUUUGAUGCCUAUGUUCUGCAAGCACCUCCAUGUACAUCUUUGUACUGUGACGUGAAAAAGAGCAGUUUUGUAAAUGGGAAGCAACACUGCUGGCAUGAUACUUCACAGCAUCUGCUAAUCCAAAAGCAUUAAUGAAGUCAUUCAAAAUGCUCUCUCCCUUCCUAGUUCUCUCUUAAGCACACUUUGCAAGCUGCUUCAAGUUAUUGGUGUUAGACGCCUUGGCAAUAACAUUAUUAUCCUGUGAGCACAUCGUGAAUAAAACACCCACAACCUGCAUCUCUGCACUGUUUGCAUUUUGUACUCGUAGCGUGUGCAUCCUGAUAGGACACCUCUCAGAACUCAAUGUAACUCUUGUUUGGCUCAUGCACAAAGGAUGGGCAUCUACAUCUCACUCCAUCAUGAAUUAAGAAAGAAUCCAGAGUUUAUAUCCCAAUUUAGGAACCUGGAAACACUUCUGGGUCAUCAAGUUCAAUUGUAGCUUGGGGGUUCUCAAAACAUCUGUACUUCUUACCAAAGUUAACUAAUGAUUUAAGCAAAAAAAAAGCCAGAAAAAAAUAAUUAAAAGCCCACAGAACAGAAAAAAAAGAAUCAUAGAUUUCUCAAUUUUUAGGAAAUAAAUGUUGAAGUUUAUUUUUCUGCUUCAAUUUUUUGCACAUGCUUGGCAUAUGCUCCAUCAUUUUCUAGUUC